rnacentral:rRNA from 1 species
AUUGAACGCUGGCGGCAUGCCUUACACAUGCAAGUCGAACGGCAGCACGGGAGCAAUCCUGGUGGCGAGUGGCGAACGGGUGAGUAAUAUAUCGGAACGUGCCCGGUCGUGGGGGAUAACGUAGCGAAAGCUACGCUAAUACCGCAUACGAUCUACGGAUGAAAGCGGGGGAUCGCAAGACCUCGCGCGAUUGGAGCGGCCGAUAUCAGAUUAGGUAGUUGGUGAGGUAAAGGCUCACCAAGCCGACGAUCUGUAGCUGGUCUGAGAGGACGACCAGCCACACUGGGACUGAGACACGGCCCAGACUCCUACGGGAGGCAGCAGUGGGGAAUUUUUGGACAAAUGGGCGCAAGCCUGAUCCAGCAAUGCCGCGUGCAGGAUGAAGGCCU